GAUGAACGCUGGCGGCGUGCCUAAUACAUGCAAGUCGAGCGAACAGACGAGGAGCUUGCUCCUCUGACGUUAGCGGCGGACGGGUGAGUAACACGUGGAUAACCUACCUAUAAGACUGGGAUAACUUCGGGAAACCGGAGCUAAUACCGGAUAAUAUAUUGAACCGCAUGGUUCAAUAGUGAAAGACGGUUUUGCUGUCACUUAUAGAUGGAUCCGCGCUGCAUUAGCUAGUUGGUAAGGUAACGGCUUACCAAGGCAACGAUGCGUAGCCGACCUGAGAGGGUGAUCGGCCACACUGGAACUGAGACACGGUCCAGACUCCUACGGGAGGCAGCAGUAGGGAAUCUUCCGCAAUGGGCGAAAGCUUGACGGAGCAACGCCGCGUGAGUGAUGAAGGUCUUCGGAUCGUAAAGCUCUGUUAUUAGGGAAGAACAAAUGUGUAAGUAACUAUGCACGUCUUGACGGUACCUAAUCAGAAAGCCACGGCUAACUACGUG
rnacentral:rRNA from 1 species